GACGUAGGGGGCCAGCGUUGUUCGGAAUUACUGGGUGUAAAGGGUUCGUAGGCGGUGUGGCAAGUCAGGGGUGAAAUCCUGGAGCUCAACUCCAGAACUGCCUUUGAUACUGAGGAUCUUGAGUUCGGGAGAGGUGAGUGGAACUGCGAGUGUAGAGGUGAAAUUCGUAGAUAUUCGCAAGAACACCAGUGGCGAAGGCGGCUCACUGGCCCGAUACUGACGCUGAGGCACGAAAGCGUGGGGAGCAAACAGG
rnacentral:rRNA from 1 species